UUUUGUUUCUUUUGUUGCUCUGUUUCCUGCUGGUAUGGUCGAAGAAGAAAACAUAGAGAGAGAGAGAACAAAGGAAGAACAACGACAGAGAGAGGGAGAACUAUUGAGCUAGGAAGUCAUCUCAUAAGGAAGGUUUAAUCUUGCAUUUUUGGUUGGAUAUUGACAAAGUUUGGGGGCUGAGGAGACCGAGACUAUACACCCGGAAAACUCAGCUCAUCGAGUUAUCUUUUUGAGGGGUCUUUCCAUGGGACCGCUGGACUCGACGGAAUAUAAAUUGGGGCAUGAUCAGCCGCUAAACCCGGCGGAAUAUUAAUAUGGGCCAGAUCGACUGUUGGACCCGGCGAAAUAGAAAAAGAGGUCCGAUCGGCCGCUGGACCGGUAGAAUAGAAAUUGGGGUCAACUCUUACUGCCAGAGGUUAAUAGACAACCCCCGCUUAUGAGAUAUGUUAUGAGGAGAUGCGGGUAAUUUAUCGAGAUAUGUGGGGUCACGGUACCAUCAUAACUUUGUCGCAAGGAAAUGUGACCCUAUGACUAUAUUGUUGUUACUUGAGAUUGUUGUCGAGGUGUUGUGUGAAAGGAAUGUGUUGGAAUUGGAUUCAAUGUUGUGGCAGAAUAUAUAUAUAUAUAUAUAUACGUGUAUGUAUGAUUGAUUGUUUGUGAAUUGUACUAGUAUAGUAACUCAUUUUACCUUAGAAUGUAGUACUCACUGAGAUGUAGCUCACAG